GGAACACGGUGUAAAUCCGUGGCGGUCCCGCCGCUGUAAUCGGGGAUGCUGGUUAGCACAGGAAAUUAUCCAGUCACUCCCAGAGCUUAGCCUCUGGGGGGAAGACCGCAAACCAGCAAACGAUCCGAAAGUCAGAAGAC
rnacentral:ncRNA from 2 species